AGGAGAAAGCCGAAAGGCGCAGAGAGAAGCCCGCGCCCGAUUAGCUAGUUGGUGAGGUAAAAGCCCACCAAGGCGACGAUCGGUAGCCGGCCUGAGAGGGCACACGGCCACACUGGCACUGAAACACGGGCCAGACUCCUACGGGAGGCAGCAGUGGGGAAUCUUGCACAAUGGGGGAAACCCUGAUGCAGCGACGCCGCGUGAACGAUGAAGCCCUUCGGGGUGUAAAGUUCUUUCGACAGGAACGAUAAUGACGGUACCUGAAGAAGAAGCUGCGGCUAACUACGUGCCAGCAGCCGCGGUAAUACGUAGGCAGCAAGCGUUGUUCGGAAUUACUGGGCGUAAAGAGUGCGUAGGUGGUUGGCUAAGUUUGGUGUGAAAUCUUCCGGCUCAACUGGGAGGGUGCGCCGAAAACUGGCUAUCUAGAGUGUGGGAGAGGGACGUGGAAUUUCUGGUGUAACCGGUGAAAAUGCGUAGAUAUCAGGAGGAACACCUUGCUG
rnacentral:rRNA from 1 species